AGUGAACGCUGGCGGUAGGCCUAACACAUGCAAGUCGAACGGCAGCACAGAGGAGCUUGCUCCUUGGGUGGCGAGUGGCGGACGGGUGAGGAAUACAUCGGAAUCUACUCUGUCGUGGGGGAUAACGUAGGGAAACUUACGCUAAUACCGCAUACGACCUACGGGUGAAAGCAGGUGAUCUUCGGACCUUGCGCGAUUGAAUGAGCCGAUGUCGGAUUAGCUAGUUGGCGGGGUAAAGGCCCACCAAGGCGACGAUCCGUAGCUGGUCUGAGAGGAUGAUCAGCCACACUGGAACUGAGACACGGUCCAGACUCCUACGGGAGGCAGCAGUGGGGAAUAUUGGACAAUGGGCGCAAGCCUGAUCCAGCCAUACCGCGUGGGUGAAGAAGGCCUUCGGGUUGUAAAGCCCUUUUGUUGGGAAAGAAAUCCAGCUGGUUAAUACCCGGUUGGGAUGACGGUACCCAAAGAAUAAGCACCGGCUAACUUCGUGCCAGCCGCCGCCGUAA
rnacentral:rRNA from 1 species